rnacentral:rRNA from 1 species
UACGUAGGGUGCGAGCGUUGUCCGGAAUUAUUGGGCGUAAAGAGCUCGUAGGCGGUCUGUCGCGUCGGCUGUGAAAACUCGGGGCUCAACCCCGAGCCUGCAGUCGAUACGGGCAGACUAGAGUCCGGCAGGGGAGACUGGAAUUCCUGGUGUAGCGGUGAAAAUGCGCAGAUAUCAGGAGGAACACCGGUGGCGAAGGCAGGUCUCUGGGCCACUACUGACGCUGAGAAGCGAAAGCAUGGGGAGCGAACAGG